AUGAUGAGUGCCCACCCCUCCUCCAGCCCCACCGCUCUCCGAGCAGACCUUCUGGGACCCGUCACCGCAGCCUGGUCCUCUUGGGCCCCAGGAGAGCGAGACAGUGAAGCUCAGCCUAGUGAUACCGCGGACAGCUCCAGGAGCAGCGCGAGCCGAUUGGCUGGAGGAGAAUGCGGCACGGAUCCUCGUUGGAAACGCGCCUCUCGCUCCUGCCUACGCUGGGACAUUGUCUCACUGCCUUCAAAGCCCUCCUCAUACAAACCUGACUCCUCUGCUCCUGGAGACUCAAGGUCAGGGCCCUUACACAGCCCCUGAGGCCUCCUCCAGCAGGUCCUGGAUUUCUCCUGUCCCCAGCACCCCAGCACCCCAGCCUGCCUGGCCUCUCCUUCUUCACAGAACAUUUUCUUGUUUCCACAAGUGCUGAGCCCACUCUUGGGGACACCCCUCUGCCUCUUGUCUUUUUGAUAAUUCCUGCUCAUUAAAAAAAAAAAAAGAUCUAUACGUUUAUUUGUUUGAAAGGAAGAGGAGGAUGGGAGGGGAGUGGGGGUGGGGAGAGAGACUGUUCCAUCUGCUAGUUCACUCUUCAAAUGGCUGGGGCUGGGCCAGGCCGAAUCCAGGAGCCCAGAACUCCAUCUGGGUCUUCCCCAGUGACUGGCUCAAGAAGUGGCGUUGUGUCUCAUAUUUGGGCCAAUAAGACACGAGCAAGAGGGAAAGAGGAGGCUUUUGCAGGAAAGUCUUACUGCAUCUGGAAGACAGCUGUGGAAGAGAACAAUAGGCCUCGUGUGCUGUG
rnacentral:lncRNA from 1 species